rnacentral:rRNA from 1 species
UACGAAGGGGGCUAGCGUUGCUCGGAAUCACUGGGCGUAAAGCGCACGUAGGCGGCUUAGCAAGUCGGAAGUGAAAUCCCUCGGCUCAACCAAGGAAGUGCUUUCGAAACUGCUGAGCUUGAGUACUUAAGAGGAUCGCGGAAUUCCCGGUGUAGAGGUGAAAUUCGUAGAUAUCGGGAGGAACACCAGUGGCGAAGGCGGCGAUCUGGGAAGAUACUGACGCUGAGGUGCGAAAGCGUGGGGAGCAAACAGG